ensembl:lncRNA
CCCAACUCCAGCUUUAGGAGAGGGCCCAGAUUGGGUUAGGCCAGUCAACAUAUUCCAUCUCUAUGGCCUUGGUGAUGAGUUCAUUAAUGAACUCAUAGCCUGAUCAGAAGCCAAUGAGAUAUGAGGAGACAUUUGCUGGGACUCUGGGAGACAAAAGCUUCUCCCUAAUAACAGAAGUACUGGAAGAGACAUUCACCUCCAGACUCGGUAGCUACAGAUGUGAAGUUGCGACUGUUGCAACCAUUCUGCUACCAGGGCAGGAACCAGCCUAAAGACGAAGCUAACAGGCAGAGGAAGAUCUGGGAGAGAUCUACAACGUCCAUUCCACAACAAUGGCUGGAAGAAUCCAUGGGGACUGUAUGUGGCUUCCUGAAAAAAGUGAUAUCCCCACCCUCCACCCCCGUUUUCCCGAAGCAAUGGGAGAUUCGGAACUAAUUCUAGGUUGCGGAAAAAUCUUUUCUGGAAGAAGUAAAAAGGAAAAAUAAAAGAUGAUCUGAAGGGAAAUUUUAUUUUAUUUAUUUUAAAUUUUUUGUGAGGACGAUUGGCCCUGCUUGAGGAAGAUCUGCGCCCAGGAUCUGAAGCUGUGAACCCCAGGCCAGCAAAGUGGAGCACGCAAACUUAACCACUACGCCACCAGGCCAGCCUCGUGUAAACGCUAUUCUUGUCAAAAAACUAAAGAGAAACUCCCUUCAUACCCCAGUCUUCAAGUGAUUUCCAUGGAGCUGAAAUGGUUUGGAGGAGAGAAGCAACUAUAUAGACAAGUUUUUAAAGUUUGGGAUGAUCUCAUUUGGGGAUGAAAAAGACGGCUGUGCACUGAGAAUUUCCCACAGAUUAUCUCUAUUUGGGAAAAAAUAUAAGCUGAUAUUGUCUUUAUUUUAGGUUACUGAAAGAUGAGCCACAUCUAAAUAUAUUCUAUUCAUUCAAUUCAACAACUAUUUAUUGAGCACACGCUAUGUGCAGGAUACUGUUCUCAUCACUAGAGAUGGAACAGUGAACAAAACUGACAAAAAUUCCUACCCUGUGGAACUUACGGUCCAGCCGGAGGUGAGGUAAUAAACAAUAAACAUCAUAGUGACUAGUUCUUGUGGUAUGUUAGAAGAUGGUAAGUGCUAUGGGAAAAAAUAAAGCAGAGAAAGGAGAGGAUCAGAGGUAAAAGGGUUGGAGGGUUGGUUACAUUAUUAAGGGUGUUCAGGGAAGACCUCAUUUGAUUUUUGUUUUGUUUUGUUUUCUUUUGUGUGUGUGUGUGUGUUUUUUGCAAGGAAGAUUGGCCCUGAGCUAACAUCUAUUGCCAAUCUUCCUCUUUUUGCUUGAGAAAGAUUGUCAGUGAGCUAACAUCUAUGCCAAUCUUCCUCUAUUUUGUAUGUGGGAUGCCGCCACAGCAAGGCUUGAUGAGUGGUGUGUAGGUCUGUGCCUGGCAUCUGAACCUGGAAACCCCAGACCACUGAAGCAGAGCAUGCAAACUUAACCACUACAUGGCCAGGCCAGCCCCAGACCUCAUUUGAAAGGUAUCAUUUGAGCAAAGACUUCAAGAAGGUUUCUUUGGGUCAGGAGCAACUUAGCUGAGCAGUGCUGGCUUGAGAUCUCUCAUGAAGGGUCAGUCAAGAUGUCAGGUGGAGCUGCAGUCCUCUGAAAGUUCAACGGAGGCUGAGAUCCCCUUUCAAGGUGGCUCACUCACAUGGCUGAUGCCUCAGUUCUCUUCAGGCUCCGUUCCCCAAGGCUGCUUGAGUAUCCUCAUAACUUGGUGGCUGGCUUACCCCAGAAUGAAUGAUUCAAGAAGGAGAGCACCAAGUGGAAGCUACGUCCUGGAAAGUAUGGUAGCAUCUUUUCCACCAUCUGUUGGUUAUCUGUGAGUCACAGUGGAGGAAGAGAACUUCUCUUUCCCAAUAGUUUCAACCACAGUUCUAGAAUUGUUUCCCAGUAGCUUUGCCUGGGUCAUCAUCACUCUGGCCAAACAUGAGUCUUGUGCUAGUCCUUGGAGCUGAGAGAUGAGGUCAGUUCCAUCUGAAACACAUGGACUGAAAGUGGGAGAGAGAGAGUUCCCCAAAGGGAAAUCAGGGUAUUGUUACCAGAAGAAGAAGGAAUAGAUACCAGACAAGCAAAAAUAAAAGAUGUCCACUAUAGUGCCUCUGCGUUAUUGGAAAUUGUUAUGGAAAGUGUGCAUUCCUUUUAUGAAAAAACUUACAUUAAAGACAAAAAAGUUUAAAGAUAUUAACUGUCAUCUCUGCAAAGUGCAAUUACAGUAAAAUUUCUCCCAGUUUUCUAUUUAUUCCAAAUUUCCUUUCAUGGGUAGGUAUUACAUUUUUUUUCCCGCUUUUUCUCCCCAAAUCCCCCCCAAUACAUAGUUGUAUAUUUUAGUUGUAGGUCCUUCUAGUUGUGGCAUGUGGGAUGCCACCUCAACAUGGCUUGAUGAGUGGUGCCAUGUCUGCCCCUAGGAUCCAAACCAGUGAAACCCUGGGCCAACGAAGUGGAG